rnacentral:lncRNA from 1 species
UUCCUCCUCUAGAUCUCUUCAUCCUUUGGAGUGUCCAAGGUGCUUGAAAAAAAAGGAAGAGAUCAACCAUCAAAGUUGCUUGCAGGCUAGCAUAUCCAUAUCUUUGAUCUGCGCCAGUCUUCGCAUGAAUUUUCUUAUAGAGGCCAGAUGACUUCGUGUGGCUGUGAGUGAUCUGAGAAAUACCUUAUCCAAUCGUUGGACCAGAGAAAAUCAAUAUCAAAGUUGUUUGAUAAUAUUU